GGGCUUAACCCCGGGAUUGCUUUGGAAACUGUUUAACUGGAGUGAAGUAGAGGUUGGCGGAAUUCCGAGUGUAGCGGUGAAAUGCGUAGAUAUUCGGAGGAACACCGGUGGCGAAGGCGGCCAACUGGGCUUUAACUGACGCUGAGGCUCGAAAGUGUGGGGAGCAAACAG
rnacentral:rRNA from 1 species